rnacentral:rRNA from 1 species
UGGCUCAGGAUGAACGCUGGCGGUAUGCUUAACACAUGCAAGUCGAACGAUGUGGGGACGUAGCAAUGCUACGUCUGUACAUAGUGGCGGACGGGUGAGUAACGCGUGAGAAUCUAGCUUCAGGUUCGGGACAACAUUGGGAAACCGAUGCUAAUACCGGAUGUGCCGAGAGGUGAAAGGCUAGCCGCCUGAAGAAGAGCUCGCGUCUGAUUAGCUAGUUGGUGGUGUAAGGGACUACCAAGCCGAUGACGGGUAGCUGGUCUGGGAGGAUGACCAGCCAGACUGGGACUGAGACACGGCCCAGACUCCUACGGGAGGCAGCAGCAAGGAAUUUUCGGCAAUGGGCGCAAGCCUGACCGAGCAACGCCGCGCGCGGGGAUGACGGGCC